GAUCUGUGGCGGUAACAGGCUGAAAAAACUGACGUUCAGAAAUCAACCCAGUUCCACCAGCAGAGACGUUCUCCAUGGCCUGUGCGGGUUUACUUUGACGAAGACCUUGCAGUGAGCGAAAUGUUGCAGGAAGCAUAGACAAGGUGCAAGGUCAUUUGGGCAUUGGCCUUCUUAGCUGGGCCUGGCCGGAAUGUUCUUGAUCGUGGAAAGAAGAGGGUCAUCUUCGCGUUUUGAGAGGGUCUUUAGGAUCAGUGAUUUAACUUCCGUGGGAAGAGAGCUGAAGCCUCUCGCAAUCUCCCUGACUGCUGUCCAGGAGAAUACUGGCUGUACCAGGAAGCAUCAGGUGUUAAAACUGAUGGAUCAGCAGACAGCAGUGAGUGAUGCUCCACGAAUUAGUAGUCGACUGGAGAAUUGAUAUUGCUGCAUAUUCCAGCGCAAGUAGUCUGCAGUCUGCGGAAAGGUUCCUCCAUCCUUUUGGGGGCCAGCAUAGCCAUGGUGCGAGUGUAAUUGACUCAUCAGAUACAGAUGCCAAAUCGCGUAUAGAAGGGGGUAGGAGUGGCAUUGCCUAACUGAUCAGAAGGGCCUUGGCAUGUGAUUGCAUGAACGUGUUGGCAGACGUUGGCACAUAGGGUUCCACCAUAGACAAUGGAGCUGGAGAAUACUUCUUGGCCCUUGAUUAUCAGUGUUUGGGGUAGAGAUAAAGGUGUCGAACCUCUAAUGAGGCGAUGAUUGUAGUGAUCUCGUUGGUUUUCUGGAGAGGGGCGAUUGCAGUAGUUGAAGAUGGUUAAGUUUUUUUUUAGAAUUUUCCGACAAUAAAUUUCACACAUUAUAUACAUUACAAUAAAGAUUAUAUCAUCUCAAAAUUGAUAUCACAUUUACAACCUUAUCACAGUUAUAAACUAUAGCUUUGUCAGAGAAGUGACAAAUACCCGCUCCGCCAUAUGGAUAGAAGCUCAUAAACCUAUAUUAUCAGCUAUGUCCUCCGGCUCCAAAACCUAUAUAAUCAGCUAUAUCAUCUGGCCCCUAAACAUAUUAUAUCAGCUUUGUCACCUGGCCCCAAAACCUAUAUAAUCAGUCUAAUUCAGCACACAUUUUAUAGACUUGUUUUGUCGUUAUCAGAUGUAAAUGAACACACAUUUUUAAGACUUGUUUUGUGUAUGUACCCCGACCCCAAAACCUUUAUAACAAGCUAUGUUCCCUGGCCCCCAAACCUAUAAUAUCAUCUAUGUCCCCCGGCCCCGUAACCUCAUAUCAGCUAUGUCCCCUGGCCCCAAAACCUAAAAUAUCAGCUGUCCCUUGGCCCCACAUGUAAAUACAUUAAAUAUUGCUUUAAAAAAAUUGUCGGUUUCAGCAAGAUGUCCAAGUAUGAUCUUCCUGCUGUCAAUUUCAGUGAUCCACUGAUUUCACUCAGAAUAUCAUUCUUUUUAAUGAUCUCCUCAAGCAUCUGACGAGAAAUGUCAAGCAUCUCUUGAUGACAAUCACAACCUGCAAGUGGGAUCAAAUGAAAGUGAUAUUAUAAACUAUGUGAUGAAUCAUUAAUUUCUUUGUCUUAAAAGUUGUUAUUUCAAGUGACUAUCAGUGUUCAUUAAAGGAGUGUAAAUAUGCCUAUCUCCAAGUAUGCUUCACGUCACCUUUCAUAACAAAAAUGUAUGAUAUCAGUCAAUUAAUGAAGGUAAACAUAGUGAGACAUAACAUUAAUAUUUAUAACAAGAGCUAUCCAUGAUCAGCCACUCCACUUAUUAGGGGCUGGAAAUUUUUAUGAAAGCAAUUUCUACAAGCUCUAUCCGCCCUUGUUAAUUGUGGUCCCCACAUGAUCCCCACAUGAUCCUGAACAAGCAAAGGUAGUUUAAAAUAUAUAUCAUUGACAUAUUCUGAGAUAAGGAUCUUUACAAAAAAAAAUUAACUUAAAAUGAAAGGCUAAUUUGAAAAAGUGGCAAAACUGUAGAAAAAAUUAUUUUAGGGUUACAUGCCCUUGUGUUUUGUUGUCCUCAUAUGAGAGUAAACAAGCAUAGAAAGUCUAGAGCAAAUAUCUUCAAUUGUUUCUGAGCUAUGGACCUUAACAAAAAGGUAUAUGUGCAAUGACGUGUCCAGAGCUUAAAGAACUAAAGCUUUGUCACAUAAUUGGACUGAUGAAAAUUUGAUCAACCCUUCAUAGUUGUCUUCCUGUUGCUGGCAGGGGUACUGGCGAUGCUUUUGGAGGUUGUUGGAACCGGAACAGGUUCACUUGGAACUAAAACAUGAAUUCGGACAUUAAGGGUAAUGUAAAAAGAAAUGAUGUUACCAGUGUGUGUAA